AAUGAGAGCUCCACUUUAUCUAAUCGAUUUAAUCACACUGUUUCAGUAUAUAAUUUCAGAAUUUAAGCAUUUGAAGGGAUAGACUCGAAACUAACUGAAAUCAACAUCACAAAUCCUUGAACAAUUUCCAGCUCAAGUUGUUUACCAAACUAACUAUAGCUAAUGCCAUUUAUAAUCCAAAGUCAACUCUAUUUUAAGUGAUUCAAGUCUUUAUUAUCUAAACUAACCCAGGUGAUUAACAAUCAUCAACCAACAAGCUAACAAUUUUAAAGUGAGGGACUACUGCUGACCAGCAGACUAAACGCAACGUCCUUUUCCAAUUACACUGUACUGCAUUUACUACUAUGAGCCAAGUUAAAACAUCUAAGAGAAAUAAACCACCAGCUACAAAAUUCACAAAAUUAAAUGACUCAAUUACGGUGAGUAUUCAAUCAUUUCAUAUAGAAGCAUGGCUAAAACACGACAAAAUUUGUCAGAACAAAACUACAACAGGAAUUUAGCUCCAAUUUCAUUUCAUGCUUACACUUCAAAGAUACAUCAGUUGGGUGAAAUUGUGUACCUGGAAUUGAGCAAAGUAAGAAUGAGAUAAGGUCAGCAGCAGGACACAGGUACCAGCAGCAGGCAACAGUGGUAAUAAAACAAUAGCAGUAAGUUUCGACCCAGAAAAUAGUUCACUAGUCCAGAUAUCCAAACAGAAUGGAGAAAUUUCCCAAACAGCACCAAAGCAAGCUAAAUGAACUCAAAUAGCAUCCAGGAACACCAGCAAACAUCGAACUCACACCAAAACCCAAUUCAAUUCAUCCAAAACUGUUCAGUGAUAAACCAUCAAGAUCCAGAACACCCCAAUAACCAGAAGAGAAAGAAAAAAAAGAUCUAAUAAAACUAAGUCAAAAGCCAAUGUAACAGUAUCUUCGACCAGCACUUAGCACUCAAACUUCAAAGGAAACCAUUUAAACCAUCUCUCUCGUUAAUGAAAUUCUAAUUGUCUUUCAGAAAUUGGAACUUCCAUGGAAACAAAACUCAGUUGAAAGGAAUAGCAGGAUUUCUUGCCUCUUUUGAUAUUUUUUUCAGAUUUUUCUCUCUAGUGCCCUUUUGAUUUUUUUAGAAGGCAGCCUUCAGGUUUUCCAAUUUACACCUUACCCCCCUUUCGAAUUUUCGUAUUAACUUAGAUAUCCCUAGAUUUUUUACUUGUUCCCCAAGUUGUGCUACCAAAACCUGAGAAUUCCAAUCCAACCCCAACCUAGAAGCUUCUCUUUCUGUUACACCUAGGAUUCCUGAAGUAAAUUUCCCCUUUUUACCCCUGACUAACCUUAGCCAUUUUACUCUUAUCUUCCCCUCAAAAAAUCUGAUCUUCUCUCACCCUUACAUGCCAUCUCCACCUUAUCCUCUAUAGCAGAAAAUAUUCCCCUUCCCCAAUUACGAAAACGACCUUGAACAAACCUAUAAUUUACCCUCAACUACAAACCAAACUAGCCAAAAAGCACUAGGCCUUUGCGACGAUGGGCUUCAACAGCCUUCUGGGCUUUGAUAGCCCUUUGCUCAAUUACACCCGCUGAGUUUUCUACAGACCCAAUCAACAAGUGACUCUAUUUCAUAAUUUAGACCCCAAAGCAUAGCCAAAAAUAAAAUAAAACAAAAAUGCCAUAACUAGCGACUAGAAAAACAACAAAGAUUAAACCAAAAAUGGCACUGAAAUACUUCAAUCUUAAACAUGUGAACAUAACGAUAUAAAACAAAAAACAGCAAGAAAAAUGAAAAAGAAAAAUGAACCAGAAGAGAAGAAACAGAGGGGGCAGUGGCGAGAAACGAAACAAAUGAAAUGGAUCAGAAUGAUGAAAUAAUAAAAAUACCUACGUAGGCAUGGGGACGAGGCUGAACGAACUCACGGGGACUUCGAUUCGAUCCAAAAUCGGCCUUAAUUUAUUGUUCUCGUUGAGAACAAGCCACCAAGGGUAAUUUCAGUCCUAAUCGUCCUUUGAGACUCGAUGAAUUUGAGAGGUUUUACCCCUUUCCUCUUUUCUUUCUUAUAUACCUGGAUUGACUGAACUCGUGGAAGAAAUAUGCAGGUUUUUGUACUGGCCUCGUGCUUGAAGGAUCAUGAGGAGUGAGAAGGUCUAGGGAUGUUGAUUUGGGAGCGAUUGGAGCCUUCGUCGUCUGCAGCAAUGGUAGAUUAGGGUUGUUUAUUAGAGAGAGAGAUGGAGAAGAUGAGAGAGAUGCAGAGAUGGGAUCUGAACUAAUCUCUGAGACAUUUGGACAUUUUUAGGUAAAUUGGGGCAAGAAUUCGUAGCCAUUAGAUGAGAUUCAAC
rnacentral:lncRNA from 1 species